rnacentral:rRNA from 1 species
UUAAUCGAAUCGGCUUGAACCGGGCAAAAGUCGUAACAAGGUUUCCGUAGGUGAACCUGCGGAAGGAUCAUU